CGGUCGCUCGAUUCGUUUUGCCUUGCAUGUGUCCAAGCCCAUUUGUUUGCACGUUAUCAGCCCAUCGAAAGCCCAUACGAAAACAAAACCAUGAGAAGUGCAUAGUAUAGGAUAUAAGAAAAAAAUAUAGCCAUCCUCAUCUCUCCCAUCGCCUGCAUCUCUCGUUCGGCCGGCCGCCGCCGCCCACCAGGGGCCCUUCCGUCAUCUCCCCCGGCAAUCCCUGGGCAGCCGCUGCCGCCCAUGAUGUUCCACGAGCAGCCUCCACCAUUCAUGCUUCCCUCCAUCCAGCCAUCGCCCGACGCUGCUAACCCUUCCGCCGUCACCGGCGGCGGUUGUUCCCCUGCCAGCCACCACCGCUAGCUCUUCCGCCGCUGUGCAUUAACUCGAGGUCAUUCGUUCAUCUGCCCGCUGCCGUUUUUUUUUGGCCGCAAUCUCUUCCACCACCAUGCCACAAAUGCGCAUGAAACGGCCGCACUCACCACUCCAUUGAUGAGCCCUCAUUAUCUCCGCCUCCGUUACCCUUCCUUUCUAGAGAAAACUGUGCUUAAAACCCCCUCUGUACCGCCAUCGUCAUCGACCAUGGACGCUUGCUCGCAUCCACAUCUGGGAACGACCUUCUGCUAUGUAUGCACUAGGAAUCAAAAGGUGCUGAAUGUAUCGGUCUUUGGCUGCUUGGAUUACUUCACAGAUUGCGCCCGAGAUCAAAAGCUCAACGUUGCCCUGUCCUUGCUGCAACGACUAGCACGUCAAGCUCACCCUAGCCUCCACACCGCCAUGUCCGGCGUCUUCGCCUGGUGCCGGCCCGCCUCACCGGUCGCCAGAUAGCCCGGGCCACCACCCUCCUCAUGGCCCUCCUAGCCGCCGUCGCACAGGGGCGAGUUGCUUGAGUUUGUCAUUCGCUGGAGCACUAAGCUCAGAUUCAACACCCACGGGAGCCAAUAUUCUGAUGGUAAGGACGGCGAACGAGGUUUCAAUCUGAUUCUCUCUCUAAUAUGAUUUGUUUGCAGGAUUAAAUCGGCUUUGCAGGGAGAGAUUACCUUGAAACAAUGCAGAAACUAAAAUGCAAUUAAAUUAAUUAAAGGUAUUCCAAGUCACCUAUUGUUCCCUGAUAUUCCCCAAAUAUUUAUACCAAUCUACUAAUUUUCCAUUGGUUUUUUUCUCAUAUUCCGCUCGCCAACAGCAAGGACGAUAGAUGAUUGUCAAACUUUUGCCACCUUACACUUCAAAUUAUUGUUAUUGGUAGUGUAUUAUUCUUCAGAUAAGUCGUGGCCUAACAACAGUUUGGUACUUCAUGGAUGUAUAGGGUUCCUCCUGCUUCAAUUGUGGUUUCUACAACUACCCUGCAAGAUUUGGUACAGCCUUUGGAAAGUUGUAUGUCCUUGGUAACAACUGAACAAUAAAAAUAAGAAAGAAAGAAAGAAAGGUUAGUUAAGAUCAGUGCCUAUGCAAAUGUUUCAUAUCCAUUGAUAUCUUUUUUGUAACUAAUGUCAUCCACAUGUCCUUUCUUCAUAUCCAUGAAUUCGGGACUGUUGUAGUCUGUUUGUUUGUGCAAAAUAUUUUUAUCUAGAUCGACAAGAUGUUUGUCCAUUUCAUCAUUAACCAUCUCCUGUACUGCUUUCACAGACCGGGCAUGCCACUGUCCAUCCUAGCAAAUAAUCCAUAGAAUGUGUUAUAUAGUCAUAUAGCAAGGUACCUUUUGGCGCUGACACUUAUAUCUGGAGAGGGUAGCAUUUGUUUGGUUCCUUUUAUGCUUUUUCAUAUAUGAUGCGCAAAUAUCUACUGGAAAGUAAUCUAUUGUCUAAAAAGAUUGUCUGUUUCUUAUGAAGUUGUACAUUUUUGCAUGCCAUAUAGGGGCAUUCUGUUGGGUGAUUUGGUAAGUUAUAUUCUGCCUAUGUUUAUGUAGUUUUCAAUCAAAUUGUAUUUAAAUAUUUAUCUUAAAUUAGUAUAUUGGUAGUUUGGUACUAAUUCUAUCCGCCAAUGUAUGUAAUGAAUUUUAUAGGUAGCUGCUAAUAGUGAGUUUGCUAUUGUCAGAAUUGUAUUCCAUCACUAUGUGUAUGGUCCUAUUUUGUUUCCAAUAUAUCAUCACAUUUAUGAUU